rnacentral:rRNA from 1 species
UGGGGAAUAUUGGACAAUGGGCGAAAGCCUGAUCCAGCCAUGCCGCGUGUGUGAAGAAGGUCUUCGGAUUGUAAAGCACUUUAAGUUGGGAGGAAGGGCAGUAAGUUAAUACCUUGCUGUUUUGACGUUACCGACAGAAUAAGCACCGGCUAACUCUGUGCCAGCAGCCGCGGUAAUACAGAGGGUGCAAGCGUUAAUCGGAAUUACUGGGCGUAAAGCGCGCGUAGGUGGUUUGUUAAGUUGGAUGUGAAAGCCCCGGGCUCAACCUGGGAACUGCAUCCAAAACUGGCAAGCUAGAGUACGGUAGAGGGUGGUGGAAUUUCCUGUGUAGCGGUGAAAUGCGUAGAUAUAGGAAGGAACACCAGUGGCGAAGGCGACCACCUGGACUGAUACUGACACUGAGGUGCGAAAGCGUGGGGAGCAAACAGGAUUAGAUACCCGUGUAGUCCCUGAGCGGGCUGGCAAGGCGCAU